UUUUAGUAUUUAGACUAAUAAAGUAGAAUUAGAUUUGUUAUCCAAAUUGAUUCUUCAAUAUCCAAUCUCUAAUAUUUUUGUAUUUAUUCAUGAGGUAGUCUUCUAAAUGAUAACAUGUGGAUGACAAAAAUUGUGUAUAUUUUUCCUUAAUUUUCUUUUCUCUUCCAAACGUUUCAAAUUUUUCGAUUUAUUGAGAUGUUGACGUCCCCUUGGGUUGAUCACUAGGAAUUACACUUGUAUGUAGAGGAACAUCUUGUUGCAUAGAACCUAUAAUGACUUCCAUGUUUGAUUCUCAAUCAGAUAAUCUGUUCAGCAUAUUCUCAUUUUGUUCAUUAACAUAGGAUUUCACAGAAUGUAAGCUGGUAUCAACAUAAGACCGCAUACCCAAGAAAUGAUCUUUUUGCUAUUUUUUUUUUUGCUAUUGCAACAAUUUCUCCUGGUUCUAAAGAAUAGCCUAAUAAUGGGCUUUUUGUUUUUGUGAUUCCUUAACGAUUAGCGUGUUAAACAAACUUGAUAGUAAACUAUCCAUAUAAGAAUGCACACCAAUUUGCAUGUAAUCUUCUUGCCCUUUUUUAUGUUGUUCAAACAGCUGUUUUUGGUUUUCAAGGAUCAGAUGGUAAUGAGCUUUUGAUUCUUUAUCAUUUUCUACCUUCAAGUUGUCACAUAGACCAAACACAUCUAAUAUUAUAUGUUAUCCGUACAUACCCAACAUUUCUUCCAUUCGAUCUUGAGUUACAUAGUUGGAACCACCAGAAGCAGAACUAGACCUAACUCCAAUUGAAGUUCUUGAAGUACCGAGAAUGAUCGUUUGUUGCACAUAGAUGUUGUUUGGGAUUUUUUUUGCUACAUUGUCUAAUUUUCUAUUCACAAUGCCAUCUAAUAUAUUUUGUUCAUUGUUUACUGGUAAUGACAGAGUUCUAUACCAUGGUGUCUCUAAUUCUUCUUCAGUAGGUUGUAACACUACAAUUACAUGGCUC
rnacentral:lncRNA from 1 species